GGGGCUAUGACUCAAUGGAAGAGUGUCUGCUUGGCAUGCAGAAGGCCCCAGGUUCAAUCCCUGGCAGCAUCU